rnacentral:rRNA from 1 species
UAGGGAAUCUUCCACAAUGGGCGAAAGCCUGAUGGAGCAACGCCGCGUGUGUGAUGAAGGGUUUCGACUACGUAAAACACUGUUGUAAGAGAAGAAUGACAUUGAGAGUAACUGUUCAAUGUGUGACGGUAUCUUACCAGAAAGGAACGGCUAAAUACGUGCCA